CGCGAUUGGAUGAACCCAGGUGGUAUUAGCUAGUUGGUGGGGUAAUGGCUCACCAAGGUGACGAUCCCUAGCUGGUCUNAUAGGAUGAUCAGCCACACUGGAACUGAAACACGGUCCAGACUCCUACGGGAGUAAGCAGUGGGGAAUAUUGCACAAUGGGGGAAACCCUGAUGCAGCCAUGCCGCGUGUGUGAAGAAGGCCUUCGGGUUGUAAAGCACUUUCAGCGAGGAGGAAAGGUUGGCGCCUAAUACGUGUCAACUGUGACGUUACUCGCAGAAGAAGCACCGGCUAACUCCGUGCCAGCAGCCGCGGUAAUACGGAGGGUGCAAGCGUUAAUCGGAAUUACUGGGCGUAAAGCGCACGCAGGCGGUUGGAUAAGUUAGAUGUGAAAGCCCCGGGCUCAACCUGGGAAUUGCAUUUAAAACUGUCCAGCUAGAGUCUUGUAGAGGGGGGUAGAAUUCCAGGUGUAGCGGUGAAAUGCGUAGAGAUCUGGAGGAAUACCGGUGGCGAAGGCGGCCCCCUGGACAAANACUGACGCUCAGGUGCGAAAGCGUGGGGGAGCAAACAGGAUUANAUACCCUGGUAGUCCACGCCGUAAACGAUGUCNAUUUGGAGGCUGUGUCCUUGAAACGUGGCUUCNGNANCUANC
rnacentral:rRNA from 1 species